AUUGAACGCUGGCGGCAGGCCUAACACAUGCAAGUCGAACGAGUGGCGGACGGGUGAGUAAUGUCUGGGAAACUGCCUGAUGGAGGGGGAUCACUACUGGAAACGGUAGCUAAUACCGCAUACCCUCGGAUGUGCCCAGAUGGGAUUAGCUAGUAGGUGGGGUAAAGGCUCACCUAGGCGACGAUCCCUAGCUGGUCUGAGAGGAUGACCAGCCACACUGGAACUGAGACACGGUCCAGACUCCUACGGGAGGCAGCAGUGGGGAAUAUUGCACAAUGGGCGCAAGCCUGAUGCAGCCAUGCCGCGUGUAUGAAGAAGGCCUUCGGGUUGUAAAGUACUUGCAGCGGGGAGGCGUUACCCGCAGAAGAAGCACCGGCGAACUCCGUGCCAGCAGCCGCGGUAAUUC
rnacentral:rRNA from 1 species